rnacentral:tRNA from 1 species
UUAUAUAUAUUUAAUAACUAAAAGAUUAAUUUCUAAAAAUAUUAGUCGUUCUUAUAAUUAUAUGAUUAUAUAAUUUAUAUGAGUUAAAUAUUUUAUUGAAUUUUAAAAAUAUAAAAUUUAUACUUUAAAUUAUAAAAGUUAAAAAAAUAUUUUUUAAGUUUUUUCAAAAAAAUAUUUAUUAUAAAUUUAUAUUUUUAAAGUUUAUUAAUUUAAUUUAUUAUAUAUU